GCUGGCGGUAGGCUUAACACAUGCAAGUCGUGCGAGAAAGUAUCUUCGGAUAUGAGUAGAGCGGCGGACGGGUGAGUAACGCGUAGGAAUCUACCUAGUAGAAGGGGAUAGCCCGGGGAAACUCGGAUUAAUACCGUAUACCUCCUUCGGGAGAAAGAAGGCCUCUCUUUGAAGCUUUCGCUACUAGAUGAGCCUGCGUAAGAUUAGCUUGUUGGUGAGGUAAAGGCUCACCAAGGCGACGAUCUUUAGCGGGUCUGAGAGGACGAUCCGCCACAUUGGGACUGAGACACGGCCCAGACUCCUACGGGAGGCAGCAGUGG
rnacentral:rRNA from 1 species